UAACACUCGCACACAUGUUAGAUAACACUCGCAUAUAUGCUAGAUUCCUCGUUGAAGAGCAAUAAACACUCGCACAUAUGUUAGAUUCCUCGUUGAAGAGCGAAGAUUCCUCGUUGAAGAGCGAGAUUCCUCGUUGAAGAGCGAAGAUUCCUCGUUGAAGAGCGAUAAACACUCGCACAUAUGUUAGAACACUCACACACAUGUAACACUCGCAUACAUGUUAGAUUCCUCGUUGAAGAGAUAUUGCUCUUGAACGAGGAAUCCCUAGUAAGCACAAGUCACUAGCUUGUGCUGAUUACGUCCCUGCCCUUUGUACACGCCGCCCGUCGCUACUACCGAUUGAAUGGCUUAGUGAGGCCCUCGGAUCGGAGGUGAGGACUGGCAACAGACCUCGCUUUCGAGAAGUUGGUCAAUCUUGGUCAUUUAGAGGAAGUAAAAGUCGUAACAAGGUUUCCGUAGGUGAACCUGCGGAAGGAUCAUUACCAACCUUUGGUGAGCCUUGGACUCUUCCAUGGUCUCGCGAAACCUGUAUUUAAAACCCGCUCAUAUAACUUAAAACAUGUGGUUAACGUAUGAUAAUUAAAGAUCACUUUCAACAACGGAACUCUUGGCUCUCGCAUCGAUGAAGAACGUAGCGAAGUGCGAUAAGUAGUGUGAAUUGCAGAAUUCCGUGAAUCAUCGAAUUUUUGAACGCAAAUUGCACUUCCUGGUAUUCCGGGGAGUAUGCCUGUUUGAGGGUCAGCUUAAAUAAAAUCGGUAUGUUGCCUUUGACAUUUCGGAGUUGGGCUAUCAUAACUACACCAGGUUAAGAGGCCUGAAAUUCAUAUCUUUUAGCGCAUCCUGGACGUGUAUAAUUCAUUUAUCCGUCUUUGGGUGUCAAAUUUUAUUAGGUAUGGUCAUGCAUUGUGAACUCGUACCCAUAAUUUUUCGUAAUUUGACCUCAAAUCAGGUAAGGAUACCCGCUGAACUUAAGCAUAUCAAUAAGCGGAGGACUGUUAGAUUCCUCGUUGAAGAGCGAUAACACUCGCAUACAUGUUAGAUUCCUCGUUGAAGAGCGAUAAACACUCGCACACAUGUUAGAUUCCUCGUUGAAGAGCAAUAAACACUCGCACAUAUGUUAGGUUCCUCGUUGAAGAGCGAAGAUUCCUCGUUGAAGAGCA
rnacentral:rRNA from 1 species